CCUACGGGGGGCUGCAGUGGGGAAUAUUGGACAAUGGGCGAAAGCCUGAUCCAGCCAUGCCGCGUGUGUGAAGAAGGCCUUCGGGUUGUAAAGCACUUUCAGUGGGGAAGAAAGCCUUGGGGCUAAUACCCUCGAGGAAGGACAUCACCCACAGAAGAAGCACCGGCUAACUCCGUGCCAGCAGCCGCGGUAAUACGGAGGGUGCGAGCGUUAAUCGGAAUUACUGGGCGUAAAGCGCGCGUAGGCGGUCUGAUAAGCCGGUUGUGAAAGCCCCGGGCUCAACCUGGGAACGGCAUCCGGAACUGUCAGGCUAGAGUGCAGGAGAGGAAGGUAGAAUUCCCGGUGUAGCGGUGAAAUGCGUAGAGAUCGGGAGGAAUACCAGUGGCGAAGGCGGCCUUCUGGACUGACACUGACGCUGAGGUGCGAAAGCGUGGGUAGUAAACAGGAUUAGAUACCCGAGUAGUC
rnacentral:rRNA from 1 species